AUUGAACGCUGGCGGCAUGCCUUACACAUGCAAGUCGAACGGCAGCACGGGUGCUUGCACCUGGUGGCGAGUGGCGAACGGGUGAGUAAUACAUCGGAACAUGUCCUGUAGUGGGGGAUAGCCCGGCGAAAGCCGGAUUAAUACCGCAUACGAUCUACGGCUGAAAGCGGGGGCCCUUCGGGCCUCGCCCUAUAGGGGUUGCCGAUGGCUGAUUAGCUAGUUGGUGGGGUAAAGGCCUACCAAGGCGACGAUCAGUAGCUGGUCUGAGAGGGCGACCAGCCACACUGGGACUGAGACACGGCCCAGACUCCUACGGGAGGCAGCAGUGGGGAAUUUUGGACAAUGGGCGAAAGCCUGAUCCAGCAAUGCCGCGUGUGUGAAGAAGGCCUUCGGGUUGUAAAGCACUUUUGUCCGGAAAGAAAUCCUUGGCCCUAAUACGGUCGGGGGAUGACGGUACCGGAAGAAUAAGCACCGGCUAACUACGUG
rnacentral:rRNA from 1 species